UACGAAGGUGGCAAGCGUUGUUCGGAUUCACUGGGCGUACAGGGAGCGUAGGCGGUUAGGUAAGCCCUCCGUGAAAUCUCCGGGCCUAACCCGGAAAGUGCAGAGGGGACUGCUUGGCUAGAGGAUGGGAGAGGAGCGCGGAAUUCCCGGUGUAGCGGUGAAAUGCGUAGAGAUCGGGAGGAAGGCCGGUGGCGAAGGCGGCGCUCUGGAACAUUUCUGACGCUGAGGCUAGAAAGCGUGGGGAGCAAACAGG
rnacentral:rRNA from 1 species